rnacentral:misc_RNA from 1 species
GCGGAGGAAAAGAAACCAACAGGGAUUGCCUCAGUAACGGCGAGUGAAGCGGCAACAGCUCAAAUUUGAAAUCUGGCUCCUUCGGGGCCCGAGUUGUAAUUUGCAGAGGAUGCGUCGGGUACGGGUGCCUUCCGAGUUCCCUGGAACGGGACGCCAUAGAGGGUGAGAGCCCCGUCUGGUAGGACACCCAGCCCGUGUGACGCUCCCUCGACGAGUCGAGUAGUUUGGGAAUGCUGCUCUAACGGGAGGUAUACUCCUUCCAAGGCUAAAUACCGGCUGGAGACCGAUAGCGCACAAGUAGAGUGAUCGAAAGAUGAAAAGCACUUUGAAAAGAGAGUCAAACAGCACGUGAAAUUGUUAAAAGGGAAGCGCUCGCUACCAGACUUGGGUUCGGCGGUUCAACCGGGGCCACGCCCCGGGGCAUUCCGCCGGCCCAGGCCAGCAUCAGCUUUCCGUCGGGGGUAAAGGCGUCGGGAAUGUGGCUCCCCUUCGGGGGAGUGUUAUAGCCCGUCGUGUCAUACCCUUCGGGGGGCUGAGGUACGCGCUUCUGCAAGGAUGCUGGCGUAAUGGUAGCUAGUGACCCGUCUUGAAACACGGACCAAGGAGUCAACCUUAUGUGCGAGUGCCCGGGCGUAAAACCCCAGCGCGGAAUGAAAGUGAACGUAGGUGAGAGCUUCGGCGCAUCACCGACCGAUCCUGAUGUCCUCGGACUGAUUUGAAAGAGAGCAUAUAGGGUUGGACCCGAAAGUAGAUGAACUAUGCGUGUGUAGGGUGAAUCCAGAGGAAACUCUGGUGGAGGCUCGCAGCGGUUCUGACGUGCAAAUCGA